rnacentral:rRNA from 1 species
GAUGAACGCUGGCGGCGUGCCUAAUACAUGCAAGUCGAGCGAAUGGAUUAAGAGCUUGCUCUUAUGAAGUUAGCGGCGGACGGGUGAGUAACACGUGGGUAACCUGCCCAUAAGACUGGGAUAACUCCGGGAAACCGGGGCUAAUACCGGAUAAUAUUUUGAACUGCAUGGUUCAAAAUUGAAAGGCGGCUUCGGCUGUCACUUAUGGAUGGACCCGCGUCGCAUGAGCUAGUUGGUGAGGUAACGGCGCACCAAGGCAACGAUGCGUAGCCGACCUGAGAGGGUGAUCGGCCACACGGGGACUGAGACACGGCCCAGACUCCUACGGGAGGCAGCAGUAGGGAAUCUUCCGCAAUGGACGAAAGUCUGACGGAGCAACGCCGCGUGAGUGAUGAAGGCUUUCGGGUCGUAAAACUCUGUUGUUAGGGAAGAACAAGUGCUAGUUGAAUAAGCUGGCACCUUGACGGUACCUAACCAGAAAGCCACGGCUAACUACGUGCCAGCCGCCGCCGUAA